rnacentral:lncRNA from 1 species
CUUAAUUAACCACGAAAAUUCAAAGCUAAUUUUCCUGUUCACAACAUUUUACACGAAUUACGUUUUUAUUUUUAAUUUCCCUUUGCACAUUGCAAAAUUUUUUUUGGUAUUGAGCUCGAAAUGAUGUUGCAACAAGGAAAUUGAAAUCAAUUAACGACCAGCUACGUGUUUUAGACUGUAUGACUGAGGUUCCGGAUGAAUUUCUAAGAAUAUUUUUACAUAUUCCACACCCUUUGAACCGUGAUAAUGUCUCUCGAAAACUGACAACUCGGAUAAUUAAUGACGAUGGCAACUCAUAAAUGAUUUAGCACGUUUUUACGUUCAGUUAUAACGUUUUACAUUCUAUUCUAAGUGUCUAAAGUACGCAACAGACGUUAGCAGUUGGGGAAGUUCACACGGAUGUAAUAUCUGAACGUUGACUGUUGAGUAACGGGAAUUACGUGGAAUUUUGCUACAACUUGACUAUAAAUAGUCGAAGUUUACGAUUAAAUUUAUAACGCUCAGUAACACAGAAUGAAAACUUCACUCAUUUACCACUUCAUCCAAUUUGUUCUACUUUUCUUGGCAUUAGUUAUGCGUACGGAAGCUAACGUAAUACCAGACGUGUGCUUCGAUGACCAAGACUGCCAAAGAAGUUGCCAACUUUCGAAUUAUUUUUCUGGAAAUUGUGUAGGAGGAGAAUGUUACUGUUACUGAAACGAUCACAUUCCGAAAAUAAACGUUAUUAAUGCAAUUAUUAUGGGGUCUACGAGUAAUUGAUUGCCAUUUUUAUCGUAAUUAUGUCUUCAAAGUGACUACGUGUCAAUAGAAGAACACAGAGCUACACUAGGUACGUUCCUACUGUACAUUGGUUUGUGGAUGUACUGUAUUUAGAGGGGCAAACGGGGCACUUGUCCUGGACAUGUGCUCACGAUUUUUAUUUUCUUUUUCUGUUCUCAGGCUUCUUCGAAUUUCAACCUUCCUCUUCAACUCUGUGAGUAGACACGUCUUUCUUUCUCGUGCUGAACUCUUGAAUUCUCACAGCUUCUCGGAGGCUCCUUAAGACUCCUUAGAACGUCGUUCCUUCUGUCCUUCUUCUGAACAAACUCUCCUAUCUCGUCUUUCUUACCGAGAUUUCACUCUGAUCUCUUCCCUGGCACGUCCGAUUCCUUAGUCGUCAGGUCCAAAAGGUGCCAAUUCCGCUCGUUGCUUUUCCCAAGUUACCCCAUCGCCUAUUAUUCUCUUUUAUUCUUGGAACGGCUAAUCCUACCCAGCGACAAUAACGGUCACCACCGAAAGUUCCAGAAAUAAGACAGACAAAAAGAGA